rnacentral:misc_RNA from 1 species
GAACCCUCAAGCUCUGCUUGGUGUUGGGUGUUUGUCCCGCUAUUGCGCGUGGACUCGCCUUAAAGUAAUUGGCAGCCAUGUAAUCCGGCUUUGAGCGCAGCACAUUGCGUACUCUCUACUGGUACAUAGGCAUCCAAAAGCCUUAUUUUUUAC